AGCUAUACAACAAGUUGAGGGUGGCGAUGGUCAGUUGUUGAGCUUCAAACGGGCAGAAAGCUAUACAACAAGAUGAGGGUGGCGAUGGUCAGUUCUAGAGUUUCGAACGGGCAGAAAGCUACACAACAAGAUGAGGGUGGCGAUGGUCAGUUGUUGAGCUUCGAACGGGCAGAAAGGUGACUUGGAAAUUGUCACUUUUUGACCAUUUGUGCCCACGUGUCACUUUCAACGUACCUCUCUAUAACAUGACCG